CUCUCUCUCUCUUUCUUGCCAAUGUUUUAAUAAGAUUCUGUUGAAGUCUGUUCUCCAUACUUGGCAUUAUUUCCACUUAUGGCAUAUUCUAAGCUUGACCAUGAAAUCCUUUGAUUGUAUUAAUAUAGGCUUGGAUGGAUCUGAUGACCUGGCUUAAUUGAGAUUUUGGUUGCACCAUAUGCGACAGCUGGUUCCCCCAAUUUCUUACUUAUUUACCUUUUUUUGGGUGUUAGGCCGGCAUGGUUGGUAGAAACACUGUUGGUAUAUCAUAUAUACUCCCACAUACACAUGCAUGUAAAUGAGUUACUUAAACAGAGAAGUUAAGCAGUUGAGCUUGAAUUUUGCUUAUUUCUCUUUUGAGAUUGUAGGCACGUGAAUACUAGGUACUUGACCUACAUCAUUGUUAAUUGAGAUAUUAUACGUGCUUGUCCCAUGAGUAUCAAUUGAAAACAAUGCUUUAAGUAGCGACCUCAUGCAUGCACUCCAAACUUGAGACUUACUGGAUAUGUUUAUUGCUUGAACAAUAAGUGAGAUUCACAUUUUGAAGUAACAUGCUGCUGAUUUUGUUUCUCAAUUCAAAUUUUUUCUUGACCAAAUUUUAGGAUCAUUUGUCCGCAAACUAGGUUGGAUAUGGUCCGAUACGGUUCUAACGAGAAUCAAACUGGACUCGAAAUUUUCGGGUAUUUAGUAAGUGGAAAUGUCAAGUCCAAAUUUAAUUAUGGAACCGUUCAGGUUUGGUUCCAUUCGAUUCUCAACUUUCGUAUUAUAAUUAAUUUUUUUAAUAUUUUCAAAGCUACAUUAGUUUAACUAAUGAUGUGUUUAAUCUUAGUUCUUACAAAAUAAUGUAGUCCAAUUUUAUGUAUCUUUUGCGUCUUUCUUUGC
rnacentral:lncRNA from 1 species